rnacentral:rRNA from 1 species
GAAAGCGUGGGGAGCGANCAGGAUUAGACACCCUGGUAGUCCACGCCGUAAACGAUGAGUGCUAGGUGUUAGNCCCUUUCCGGGGCUUAGUGCCGCAGCUAACGCAUUAAGCACUCCGCCUGGGGAGUACGACCGCAAGGUUGAAACUCAAAGGAAUUGACGGGGGCCCGCACAAGCGGUGGAGCAUGUGGUUUAAUUCGAAGCAACGCGAAGAACCUUACCAGGUCUUGACAUCCCGAUGCCCGCUCUAGAGAUAGAGUUUUACUUCGGUACAUCGGUGACAGGUGGUGCAUGGUUAUCGUCAGCUCGUGUCGUGAGAUGUUGGGUUAAGUCCCGCAACGAGCGCAACCCUUAUUGUUAGUUGCCAUCAUUCAGUUGGGCACUCUAGCGAGACUGCCGGUAAUAAACCGGAGGAAGGUGGGGAUGACGUCAAAUCAUCAUGCCCCUUAUGACCUGGGCUACACACGUGCUACAAUGGCUGGUACAACGAGUCGCAAGUCGGUGACGGCAAGCUAAUCUCUUAAAGCCAGUCUCAGUUCGGAUUGUAGGCUGCAACUCGCCUACAUGAAGUCGGAAUCGCUAGUAAUCGCGGAUCAGCACGCCGCGGUGAAUACGUUCCCGGGCCUUGUACACACCGCCCGUCACACCACGAGAGUUUGUAACACCCGAAGUCGGUGAGGUANCC